GUCCCGCCGCUCCUCUGCGCGCCCCGAGCGCUGCCGGUGACAGCGCGCGCCCGGCACCGCCCGCGCGGGCGGAGAGCCCCGCCGGCUGCCGCCGCCGCCCUGAGCGCGGGGCCCUGAGCGCUGCUGGGUGAAUGUUCUGGUGUUUGUGCUGGGGCAGGAUAAAGGCCAGUCAGACACUGCACCUCACCUUCCAACAGCAUUUUAGUCAUUGUGGCUUUCACUUACACAGCCCGGUUGUCUGAAAUGUGUCAGGGGAAAAAUGCUGACGUGACCAUUCGUGUGCUAGGAAUUCAUUUAUGCACUCCUUGGGAGCACUGUACAGCACAGAGCCAUGGGGAACACACCCAUCAUAGAGAGAACAGUUGUAACAGCAGUGACACCAGUACUCCAUAUGGACAAGCAGUGGACUUCUGGGGUGACGGAGGACCUGCAGUGGAAGUAAAGGCAUGAAUGGCUGUCCUCAGGCCUGCAGGUUAAGAAGCAUCUAGAAGACAAACCAGACUUCCCAAGCCUCUGUUUGAGACCUGUGUAGCACACAGCCUACCAAAGAAUUCCUCUGGCCCGGUGUGCUGUGUGGGUGAAAGAAACGAGUUUGUCCUGCCUCGCUGCUCUCUUCUUGGCCUGAGAUCAGCACGUUGUUGAGCACGCAGCAGAUCGUGACCAGAGGCAAUGGCCUCUUUCAACAGCCCCGCAAUACCGUAAUACGUGCUGCGUUGAGAGCUGCUGACUUUAAAGGUGAGAAUGGUGAUGCACUGAGGAUUCCUGACUGGCAACUGCUCUCCGCAUGAGCAUACAGCAGGGCACCUCACACACGUUUGACAAAGAAAGUUUGCAAAUAAAGAACUAGCUACGGGGAAGCACAAAGGCAUUGCAGUAGAAGGGAGACCUGCAGACAUGGUUAGACAUGGCUACCAUAUCCAGGUUGCCUGAGAUUGGUUGUCUGUCCUUUUUUCCAACCAGAAUUGUUUCCCAGGGAGAUUCUGAGAACUGUGUAUGUUUAGGAUUUUGAAUGUGUAUGUCUAGGAUUCUUGGUAUCUAAUAAUCUCAUCAUGUUAUUGCAUACGUGCAGCAGUCUCAGCCUUGGAUGUCCCAUGUCCAGCAAUCCCAGAGACCUCAGAGCAAACACCAUAGGCCCAUAUUCUAUAGGCAGUGUAAUGCCAACAAAACUAAGGGAGUGCUCUACUACUCCUACAAAGUGUUGCAUGAACAGACCACACAAUUACUUUGAGCAUUCCCAGCAAGUAUAAGGCUUUCUGUAUUCACAUGAUGCAACUGGAGCACCUUUUUCCGUAUCAGAAAUAGAGUAGCCAAAGGGUGGGAUAAAGAGCCACCAGAGCAGUAUCCCAGCCAACUGGCUGCUGUACAGUGGCCACAAUCUCACUUUAACGACUAAUACACCUCUUCCUCCCUCCCUUGUGAUGUGCAGCCACCACCUUCCAGCUGCUGCAAACCAGUUUCCCCUGCUAAAUAGCAAUUGCCAAGAAUUUCCUCGGUAACAGCGGCAGCUUCUGAAGUGAAGCUUAAGAACAGAAAGGGAGUACUGGCAAUGGGCUUGCCCAGGUGAGCUGCAGAACAGGGAUUUAGCAACACAAGGCAAAAAAUAGCAGUGUAUUCCAGAUCAACACAUAUGCAUAGCAAAGGUAGGGAGGACAGGGAGGUAUCACUGUAGCAUUUGCAGGUAGCAGCAUAAUUCUGUUGGCUUCUGCUGAAUCAUCUUAUUUGUACUACUUAAGAGAAAAAUAGGGCUGUGCUUUUCACCUAUUCUUUAAUUACAACUUCUUGAUUAUAUCGAUGAUUUUCAACUUCAUGUCAAUUAAACCCAUUAAUUCCAUAAAUGAAGAGCAAAUUUGGAUAAAAUGGAUGGGAUUUGUUACAACAGGGUAGUAACUGGAAGGCAGCCCAAGAUAAGUAGUCAAAGUCUGCAGUAAUCUAUCCUCAGCUGAGUUGUACACACCUGUUCCAUACCCUUCUCCUUCUGGAAUUAACUUUCAGAGUGGCACUUCAAGUACGGUAAAAAAUUGUUGUCAGCUGACUGCUCCCACUAAAAUCUGCAAGAGGGAUGUGACCAUAAAAGAAAAGUACACAGUAACCUUUCCAAAGUAUGCCUGUAAUUUCAGAAUUGUGUUUUCCCAGAGCUGAGCCUCCUUCUGCCAAGAAUGAAGUCUUUAUCAUGGUUGCUGUAUUGAAAAGUGAGACAUAGGUGAGAAAGAAAAAUACUUUUAGAGCAUUUGAAGAUUAUUUCAGUUAUGGUUUUAAAUUUAUACAGGAUGUAACUAACAUUUCUGUCUGAAUUUACCCACUGUAGUAAGAAUAGAUCUUAAUGACUGUUUAAAGCCUGAGCAGUUUAUGAAAGAAAUUAUAUAACAUGGUGUUGUAGAAGCAGUGGAUUGAAUUCAGUGACCUAAAAAAUACUUACAUAUAUUUCUGUCUUAGGAAGUUCCUAGGUCUACCUGUCAGCAGCAGGAUAUAUUCCCAGGAAAUCAAUUAUACAUGUAAACAAAAAUAUCAUGGAGAUUAAAGAACAUAUGAAAGAGCAAGCACAAUUCUUCUUUCACAACACCAUGAAUCAAGAGUAACUUCACUGAAGCCAAUGAGUUACAGUGGUGUGAGUGAGAAAAGAACCAGCUCCAUUGUCUGAAAAUUACUUGGGCCACCCAUGGAGUCCAAUCAGAGGAACUGCAGGCAGAUAAUAUUGCAGCAUUUAAUUCAGAAAUCCCAAGUCUGAAUAGAGGAGACUGAAAAGAAAGGAUCUGAAUUUGGUUUUGGUUAAAAAAAAAAAAACAACUGGAAAACAGCAGGAAAAUGGUAAAUGGAAACAAAAAGAAAUUACUCCAUUUGUAAAAAAACCUCUCUCUCCAAAAAUAAAAAAAAAAUUGCAUAGACCAAAGAACAAAUCUGUAUGCUUUGGGCUAUUUUUAACACCCUGCAGGUAGCCAGUUAACAGUGGCGGAGCUGUAUGCUUCCCUGAAGGGAAAGUGUUAUCUUGGCUUUCCAAACAGCAGACACAUUUUGUGAGUUGAUGCACACUGUGCUACACCUACUCAGAGGAGUGCUGCAGAACGAGGGUCACACCUUUCCAGCACGGGUCACUGUAACAUAUCCUGCCACAUUUUUAGGUAGUAACGUACCUUCACUUUCCCUGCUUUAGUUUACUCUUUCUAAACACACGCUCCAUUUUUCAUCUGAGGUCAGUGACUUGAACUUUCCCAGCUCCUGUCACCUCCCACUUGAGAGCAUUUCUGCCAGUAGUACUUACUGUCCAUAAGAGAACAAAGGCUUGUUUCUGGAAAGCUGUCUGUUCACGAACUUCUUCCUGUCCCUUCUUCAGUUUUCUUCCCGUUUUUCUGUCUUCUCCAUUUGUGUCUCUCACCACACACUGUCUCUUUCAUCUAUUUACACCUCACCUGCAGCAUUACCCUCUGCAUUGGUAUUAUUGUCCUGAUUAUAACUGUCCAGAAGCUACUGAGGACCUGUAAAACAGCACAUUGUGAGCUUGCCAUGCUGCACUAGAAGCCCCUACACUGAUGCACCACGUCAGCAUUAUGGCAAGAUGUCAAACCACAUUAAGACAGAUGUGCUGAGUAUUAUUCAAAGAAUUUGCAGGAACACCAUCUCUCUUUCUUUUCCAGGUCACUGUCUCCCCGGUUUUUUUCCCCUCUUCUACUUUAUAUUCUAUUUUACUAUCACCUUUUCCUUUUCUGUCACUUUAUUUUCUUCCUCCCCACAGUUAUCCUCCCCUGGCUUCCUUCAGUGUCCACCUCACAUUCCUCCAUGCAUUUUCCUCCCUCUGAAGUGCCUGCACAAAGGAGUAUAAUGGAGGCAGUACUGCAGCUUUGUUACAGCUCUUUAGUAAACAAAGCUACUGGGUGCAUCUUUGGGAUCUGCAAAACAAAAAGGUCUAGAGAAAGUGUUUCAUUCCCAAAGGAUUAAGCCAGAGAGCUCUGAGAUUUUAGAAAACUUCUUGGUUCCCUAAUCUCCGACAUGAAGCACACCACAAACAGCAGGAGGAAUUCUGAAAUAACACCCAAUUCUUUUCUUCACAAGCACAUAUUUCCUUUUGCUUUGUGAGCUGAGGCUCUUAGCAACAAGAGAACAGGGUAGUGACUAGAAUUUGAUUAUGUCAGAACAGCAGAAAAUUUAAAAAUAUGUACUUUGUAAUGGCAUACAAUUGGAAAGAAUAAAAUUAGUGCCAAGCAGUGCUAAAACCAAACAAAAUGUUUCCCAAUAAUUCAACAUACAGAGGGUCAGAAAGCAAUCUGGGUUUUAACAUUCUGUCUGGUAAUCAAAAUCAGCAUAAUUCAAGUGCAGAACAAGUGCUUGUUGAUACAAGGUAUUUUGUUUUAUGUGAUAGCAUCAGAAUUUCAGGUAAAAAGACAGAGCACGUGCUUUGGAUGGCAUCGCUCAUCUGUAUGCUAAAGAUAGCUUCUAAGCCUCGUUUAGCUCAGCCUGAACUUUGGCACAACCACAGCAGCUGCACAGCGUGUCACUGUGCCUCCUUCAGCACACACCACAGCAGGAAAAGAAUGGUUGGUAAGGAUAUUUUAAUGGCAGAUGUGUUAGCCUCAACAGGUCAAGUAGCUUCUUCGGACAAUAUAAUUCCCUCUGAAUACUCUACCAAUUUUUUUCAGAUUUUUCCAAAAACUUUAUAUCAUGUUUAGUGAUUUUUUUAUCUUGUCUUGAUCUGUGAAAGCCUUGAGGAAACAAGGAAGGAAAAUUGCUUGAUGACACAAGGAAACAAUAAAAUCUGCUCCUUAUUCACUUUAUAUAUGUCUAAAUCCUGUUGAAAUCAAAUUUUAAAAACUGAAUAAGAAAGCAAGAAAUUGUUUUCCACAUAGUUCUCAAAAGCAGUAGUCAAUAGUAGGAAUUUGACUUCAAAAUUUAUAUUUCUUAAAUAUUAAAACUUUUAAAUUUCAUAUUUGGGGAUAGAUAUUAAAGUGGUGUCAUAUAUUGUUUCAAAAGUAAAUAUAAUUUAUGUCUUAACUUUGUCAGUUUGAGAGGUCCAGACUGUAUUAUUCAUUUUUCCCUUUAUUACUAAUAAUGAAUUCUAGCAAAGACCCCACUUUUAGCACAGCUACUUGUUAAUAUUAUGAUUAUUUUCUAAUUUUGCAUUGUCACUAUUACAGAUUCCUACCUAGGGUUUAACUGUUAGUCUCCACUGAUAUCAGAGGCUGUAGUGAUUCCCAUCCCAAGGCCUUGUUCUGUGUAUUAAUUCAUACAGACAUGUUCCUUUGUACAGUUCUAAUCAUAGGAAGGAUAAAAUCUUCUAUAGUGUUAUUUCAAAUCUAAGAUUUAAAGCAACAGUCCUGGUAGAAACAUACAAAAAGACAAGAAACUACAUUAAAUACAGCAGUGCUAAAGUACAGUAAGAAAGCUUGCCUUUCAAAUCAAGUGAAGAAUUUUUUUUAGGCUUCUACUUCCAAUGAUACUAUUCAACACCAUACCUUACUGAUUAGACAAAUACCAGAAAAAUAUUGACUACAAAACCCAAGAACACCUAAAAAUAAAGAAAAUACAAAAUUAAUCCUAAUUCUGUAUGUCAGAUAUAUAGAGAUAGGUAGAUAGGUAGAUAGAUAGGUAGAUAGAUAGGUAGAUAGGUAGAUAGGUAGAUAGGUAGAUAGAUAGAUAGAUAGAUAGAUAGAUAGAUAGAUAGAUAGAUAGAUAGAUAGAUAGAUAGAUUAAAAAAAGCUAAGGUGGAAGAGUUUCACCAUGAAAAUUAUCAUGCAAACAUGAUAAAUGGAUUUGAACAGUCAUUUUGUGAAUUGCACCAAAUAUAUUGUCUAACUGAAUAAAUUGCAGAAAAAUUGCAUUGUGAUAU